UACGUAGGUGGCAAGCGUUGUCCGGAUUUACUGGGCGUAAAGAGCGCGAAGGCGGUCGGAUAAGUCGAAUGUGAAAGCCCCCGGCUUAACUGGGGAGGGUCAUUCGAUACUGUUCGACUGGAAGGCAGGAGAGGGAAGCGGAAUUCCCGGUGUAGUGGUGAAAUGCGUAGAUAUCGGGAGGAACACCAGUGGCGAAGGCGGCUUCCUGGCCUGUUCUUGACGCUGAGGCGCGAAAGCUAGGGUAGCAAACGGG
rnacentral:rRNA from 1 species